AUAGAUACUCUUGGGGAUCUAGAAAGACAUCAUUGUAAUGCAUUUCAAUGGAUUACUUCGUGGAGGUGAUUGUAAAAUAAACAAGUAGCGUGAAUGAGAAUCAAUCAUCGUACACAAUACCUUUAAACCUUCGAUCAAAAACUCUAAAUCUGCUCUGUUUGUGCUAUGUUUCUAAACACCCAUCCCAAAAACCCACUAACCCAACAAAUUACUUUUGUGGUUUAUAAACCCUAAACGACCAUGUAAAGGGGAAUCCGAAGACUCAGUUACCUCCACAAAAAUCCAAUGGCUCCUCGUCAGGGGGGACGAAUCAUCCACUUCGCCAUUGCGGUUUCAACGUGUAAUACCACUAAGAACCUGGAAAAUCAAGGCCAGAAAGGAAGAUGAUGUCAGACGUACACUGGUGUGAAGUGAAACGCAAAGAUAGUUUUGAGAUUCAAUGUAGGCGACAAAAAGGAAACUCACCGCCUGAUCGAUCGAAAUAUCGUGAACAGUGAAAACGAAAAGGGAAGGACGAAGAACCUUCUGUUUCAU
rnacentral:lncRNA from 1 species